GCCUGGCUGGCUCAGUAGGAAGAGCAUGUGACUCUUGAUCUCGGGGUCAAGAGUUCAAGCCCCGUGUUGGGUG
rnacentral:tRNA from 1 species